GACGAACGCUGGCGGCGUGCCUAACACAUGCAAGUCGAACGGAGAUAUUUUUGUAGUAAUACUAAGAUAUCUUAGUGGCGGACGGGUGAGUAACGCGUGAGGAACCUGCCUUGGAGUGGGGGAUAACACAGGGAAACCUGUGCUAAUACCGCAUAAUGUAGAGAGAUGGCAUCAUCAUUCUACCAAAGAUUUAUCGCUCUAAGAUGGCCUCGCGUCUGAUUAGUUAGUUGGUGAGGUAACGGCCCACCAAGACUGCGAUCAGUAGCCGGACUGAGAGGUUGAACGGCCACAUUGGGACUGAGAUACGGCCCAGACUCCUACGGGAGGCAGCAGUGGGGAAUAUUGCGCAAUGGGGGAAACCCUGACGCAGCAACGCCGCGUGAAGGAUGAAGGUUUUCGGAUUGUAAACUUCUUUGACGAGGGACGAAAGAAAUGACGGUACCUCGAAAACAAGCCACGGCUAACUACGUG
rnacentral:rRNA from 1 species